rnacentral:rRNA from 1 species
UAGGGAAUCUUCCGCAAUGGACGCAAGUCUGACGGAGCAACGCCGCGCGUGUGAAGAAGGAUUUCGGUUCGUAAAACUCUGUUGUUAGAGAAGAACAGCGCAUAGAGUAACUGUUAUGCGUGUGACGGUAUCUAACCAGAAAGCCACGGCUAACUACGUGCCAGCAGCCGCGGUAAUACGUAGGUGGCAAGCGUUGUCCGGAUUUAUUGGGCGUAAAGCGAGCGCAGGCGGUCAAUUAAGUCUGAUGUGAAAGCCCCCGGCUCAACCGGGGAGGGUCAUUGGAAACUGGUUGACUUGAGUGCAGAAGAGGAGAGUGGAAUUCCAUGUGUAGCGGUGAAAUGCGUAGAUAUAUGGAGGAACACCAGUGGCGAAGGCGACUCUCUGGUCUGUAACUGACGCUGAGGCUCGAAAGCGUGGGUAGCAAACAGG